AAUCUCAAUACAGUUGUAUGAGAUACAAAACCCAAAACCAUAUUUCUUCAUUCACCGUAACAAUGCUUUCAUGGAGAGUAACUGCGUGAUGGUCUCGUGAUGAUCAUCAUUGUUGGCAGUAACAAGAGAUGGUCUUACUGAAGAGAUCGGAGAGGAGUUCACGUGGAUGACGAGAAAAGAGCAUGAUCGAUCAAACAAGAUUUAUAUAUCUUUCAUUACAAGACUAAUAUUGCCAACAAACUGAAGUCUCAGGCAACAGGUCAUCAACACUAAUAAAGAUGGAGAUCUUCCAACUGUUGUCGAUAGAAGAGAAUUUUGAUUCAACAAUUGAUGUUGGUUGCGUUUUGUUUGUUGAAGCUAAAUUAUAUAAUGAUUAGUGUUACGGCGGACUCUCACUCAUGUAUUCUAAUUCAUUUUGGAUUUUAACUUGCUGAACUAGCCCGUGCGAUUGCUAGAGAGGUCAAGAGAAGGCUAUAAUUGUGUGAAUCAAAUUAAUAAACUAGCCCGCGCAAUUGCGCGUGUUUACUGAA